UGGCAAGAGAAAACCUUGUCCGUCCGUCCCCUUCCAUGGUGCUGCCCCAAACCUCGACCCUGGGAAUCCCAAGGGGUUGGGAAAACCGUGGGGUGCUUGGCACUGUACCAUGGGGUUCGGAAACGCUGAGCCCUGAAAGGGCAGCUUCAUCACGCAUCACCACCGUCUUCCUCCCCUGAAACGGGAUGUCUGGAAAUCGUCCGCCCCGGGGAGCAACAUGUACAUAUACACACGCACGGGGUGUAGCUAAAAUAAAAAGCUAACCUGGAAAACCUCCGCAAGUUAGAGCAAAUAUAUGGCCCUAUACGUCCCGGGCGGCUGCUAACUGGCCACCAGCAAAUCCCCGCUUGGCAGCGGGGAGUGGAGUGGUCACGAGGGAAAAUACAUCAUUCAUAUUUCUAUUUCUCGGGUAUUUCUAUCAAAGGGAAUCAUGUCUCAAAGCCAGCAGGGUUUGAGAAACCAAAAAACAUUUUGAGAAUUGGGCAAUUUUUCUCAGUGGUUUGGUUGGUUUGUAGUUUGUGGUUUGUUUUUUUUUAAGAUUCGCGAUCUCAGAUGUCAAACAAAAAUAUGAGAAAUCAAAAAAAAAAAGGUUUGAAAAAUCAAAAAAACAUGGAUGUUUAGCACAGCGGGGUGUUCCCACCUGGGUGGAUGGAGGAGGAUGAAAAGAGUCAGGUGGAGGUUUGGGCCUCGCAGCCUCCUGAUUUCUCCUGCUCCUGUAAAUGUGCCCUUUCCAACCCAUUUAUUUUUUCCAUCCACUUUCAUCACCUGCACUUGGUCUUAGAUCCUCAUCUCCCAAGCAUGUUGGUGCACCAUGGGCAGGUCCCCUGGACCUCAUCUACACGCUACAGGCGUCCUGGCACAGGGUCGGCGAGUUGUAGCAGUCUGGGGAAAGGAUGAGUGUUUUGAUGUGUCUACACCACGCUCAGGGCUUGUUUUCUACACGCUGCAGCAGCUCGGGCGAAUCGGGGCGAGGAGGAUGUCCAGGGCUGCCCAGCACUGUUGCCUCCAAAACCGAACUCUAUCCUUGGCGUGAAUUUUUUGCCCUUCUUGAUGGAAGGUGGCAAAACACUCGCCAGAGAGCAACGGAUCCCUUUCUCUCUGCAAUUGGCCAUUUUCCACCCUUUCGGCCCAUGCUCGGAGCCAGCCCUGGAGGAGCGCACGGCCCAAACAGCGCAAAAGGAGGGGAUGUCCUGCCAAAAUAACAAGUUAAGUGCGAGGCAGAUGCCAGGCUCAUCUUUACCGAGGCAGACGAAGCCGACAGCUCACUAGCAACUGCCUCUCUUCUCCUAAGAGGUGUAGAAAUAACCCAAGAAGCUGCACCCACCAGCAGGAAAACCUCGCCUGCAGGGAAAGACUGGAAGCGAAAAAUCAGAAUAUAAAGUCUGAUCCAAAGCGACAACCUCCAGCCCCAGCGGAAGAGACGCGGGGUUGCGUUACAAGCGUCGUUGCAGGCAGCGGCCCUGGUAGCUGUUUGCCAAACGCUUUUCCUUACAGUACUGCUGACGGCAGGCGUUUCAAAAUCAGAAGUCCCUCAGAGCUGUGAUUAUCUUAAAUCCUGAUGAAAAUAUAUCCUGUGGGAGCAUUUUAUUCACCGCCUGGUUGCUGGGUCCAUUGGAGAGCUUUAGGAUAUGUUUUCCCACGGGCUCGUGGGUGGAUGUGCAGGGGGGUACGGGGCAGAUGCAGGUAUUUUGAGGCACAUAACAAAGUUGUGACUGUAGGUCCUUGUGACUUUGCCAGACGUUAAACAUGGGGGAUGAAAUUUUACAUGCUUGUGUGUCUGCCUAAGGAUGGUCUCCUUUUAAUUUCAGCAGAAAUAGUUCAGCCAUUUGUAAGAUCAAGGGAGAAAUAUUUUCUUCUGGCACCAGGAGAAAAUAUUCUUCUAACUCGUGAGGUUCCAGAAACACUGCAGCUGCUCCUAACGUCAGCCAGUGAUUUGCUUUUUAGCGUCCACUUGCUGAGCAAAAUACCUCCGAAAAGAAUCGGAGUUUGCACAUUUUCAGAAUAUUUCUCCAACUUGGCUGGUCGAAUCCGACACAGGCUCCCGCCGGCGAGGCAGGGCUGGGGAAGGUUUCCUUUUCAAACCACCUCCAAGCUGCUGUGAAGAGAGGAAUGAAGAGCAGAAAGACCGUCUUUCCCCAUGCUAACAGCACUUUGGUUGCUGAAGGCUGUGCCAUGUCAAACAAAAAGUCACGGAGCAGCCAAUGGAAGGAAAUUUCAUAUGAACUUCGAGACAGCUUCUAGGAAAAUAGAUGCAAUUUUGGCCUGGGAAAGUUGCUUUCAGAUUUAAAAGUUCCUUAUCCCACGCUUAGAGCCUUGAAUGCUCAAAGCUAUUUUAGAUAUCUCCCUUCGGCAUGGCUAGGAUUUCUGCCAUGCUCAUUCCUCACCGUAUAUCCCCAGGCACAUUCAUUUCAAACCGAUGCACCUAUCAAACCCUCAUUAAAACCCUUCUUACUCCAGUGACACUUCAUAGCGUGUGAUCACUUUUUAAGAUGCUCCAUUAGGACCCGGCUCAGCGCCGAUGCUUUAAACCAGGGGCAAGUUUCAGGCGUAGGCAGAUUUCACACCACAUCCUGAAAGCGUUUCAUUAUCUGCUUAUUGAAGGGAAAAAUUGGUCCAGAAGGGAAAUUUUUGUUUUCUGGCAGGGAAAUAUGAGACUGGAGAUCUGGCGAGACGCAGAAGAGCAUCAUGUGCAAGGUCUUCGAGGAGGCGGCGCUUCGGUAUUUCAGGUGGGGGGACGGUGAAGGAGCUGCUACAGUUUCCUGCAGGAGUGGGAACAGAGGGAAGGAGGCUCACGGGAGGGAAGUCUUUGCUGGAGGAGCCUUUGCCUGAGCCCUUCCGAUGACCCAGCCGAGGCUCUUUUUUGGUGUCUUGUUCCUCCCCAAUGUCAGAGCGUCUUUGGAUGUUCUUUUUUUUGCAUUUGCCGCUGAGGUCAGGGCUGGGAAGGUUAUCGUAGGAAGGUCUGGGAAACAAGACAGGGUAUGGUGAAAGCACAGGCGAUUUCUCCAUGGCUAGCUUUUUGGGGAAGAGCAAGGAGCAUCUCAUUAAUUGACAACGUCAGCAACGCCACAUCUGGAUGGAGGGCACUGAGCGAGGCUUGGCGACUUGCGAUACUAUCUCCAUUCUGUAGAGGAAGAAAACGAAGCAUAAAAAAUGCAAGGCCAAAUUUAUCUCGAAGACGUCUGGCGGGAAGCGAGCCAAGACAUGUAAGCCUGUCUGUCUGCCUGCCGGUGCGUGGCAGCGAAGCCAGCGGGAGGUAAAUCCCUCUUGUGGCUGCCCCGUAGCCCCACAGCAUCCGACCAGCCCUGGGCGAGGGGAAGGAAGCGUGGUAAGGGACACGCCAUUGUUUUGCCCAGGCAAAUACUCAGGGAAUGCAGGGCAAGCAGGAGGGAGAUCUGAGCUUUCCUGUGUUUGUGUUGCAAAUAUUUUCAUAAAGGUGCUUUUUUUGAACUCUU